AACGAACGCUGGCGGCGUGCUUAACACAUGCAAGUCGAACGCGAAAGGGGCUUCGGUCCCGAGUAGAGUGGCGCACGGGUGAGUAACGCGUAAGUAAUCUACCCCCGCAUUCGGAAUAACUCGUCGAAAGGUGAGCUAAUACCGGAUACGUUUACCUUGAUGCGAAUGAUGAUAAAGAAAGGUGGCCUCUUCAUGAAAGCUACUGUGCAGGGAUGAGCUUGGGUACCAUUAGCUAGUUGGUAGGGUAAUGGCCUACCAAGGCGACGAUGGUUAGCGGGUCUGGGAGAAUGAUACGCCACACUGGGACUGGAGCACGGACCAGACUCCUACGGGAGGCAGCAGUGAGGAAUAUUGCGCAAUGGGGGCAACCCUGACGCAGCGACGCCGCGUGGAUGAUGAAGGCCCUUGGGUCGUAAAAUCCUGUCAGAUGGAAAGAAAUGUAUGGGUGUUAAUAUCGCCUGUAUUUGACGGUACCAUCAAAGGAAGCACCGGCUAACUCCGUGCCAGCAGCCGCAGUAACAC
rnacentral:rRNA from 1 species